UACGUAGGACGCAAGCGUUAUCCGGAAUUAUUGGGCGUAAAGAGCUCGUAGGCGGUUUGUCGCGUCUGCUGUGAAAGACCGGGGCUCAACUCCGGUUCUGCAGUGGGUACGGGCAGACUAGAGUGCAGUAGGGGAGACUGGAAUUCCUGGUGUAGCGGUGAAAUGCGCAGAUAUCAGGAGGAACACCGAUGGCGAAGGCAGGUCUCUGGGCUGUAACUGACGCUGAGGAGCGAAAGCAUGGGGAGCGAACAGG
rnacentral:rRNA from 1 species